rnacentral:rRNA from 1 species
UAAUCAUUAGUCUUUUAAUUGAAGGCUGGUAUGAACGGUUGGACGAGGUAUAAGCUGUUUCAUAUAAAUUUAUAAUAGAAUUUUAUAUUUUAGUCAAAAAGCUAAAAUAUAUUUAAAAGACGAGAAGACCCUAUAAAUCUUUAUAUUUUGUGUUGUUUAAAUUUUUUGGAAUCGGUUUAUUUUUAUAAUAUAAAAUAUUUUGUUGGGGUGAUAUUAAAAUUUAAUUAACUUUUAAUUAUUUAAAAUCAUUAAUUUAUGAGUUAUUGAUCCAUUAAUAGUGAUUAUAAGAUUAAGUUACUUUAGGGAUAACAGCGUAAUUUUUUUGGAGAGUUCAUAUCGAUAAAAAAGUUUGCGACCUCGAUGUUGGAUUAAGAUAUAAUUUUAGGUGUAGUCGCUUAAAUGUUAAGUCUGUUCGACUUUUAAAUUCUUACAUGAUCUGAGUUCAGACCGGCGUAAGCCAGGUUGGUUUCUAUCUUUAAAUUUUUAUAAUGUCUUAGUACGAAAGGACCAGGCAUUAAAAUAAUAAUAUUUUAUUUAUAGAAUGUGAUUAAUU